rnacentral:misc_RNA from 1 species
CGAUUCGACAUUUGGAAAUGAGUUCUUUUAUGGAUGUUUGUGCAACAGCACAAGAUUACGAUCAUGAUGAAAAGGGCUGAUUCAGACACAAGUAACAGAACGAGUACUACGACUCUCUAGACCUCUCAGUGUUCACUUCAAAUUCUUCAAGAGGCCCUACUCCAAGAAAAUCUAUAAAUGGUGGUGAUAUGGUGGUCUCAGAAUGUCUGGUUGCAUUGUUCUCUGCCGAUGAUAGCGAUGAUGAUGAAGAUGGUUCACUAGCUGAGACUUGGGAUGUUGGUGAUGCCAUGGAGUCUGAGAAGCCUGCAGAAAAG